CAAAGCCAGUGCAACAGAAUGACAACAGCGUUCACAAAUCCCAACUGUCUGAACACAUAAGUAUUGAAAUGCAAAAUUGAAAUACAGAGUCCACCAGGCAGCAGAGAAACAAGAGCUGGUUGAGCAGGAGCUGGCCCAUGUCGUCAAUGCCUGCUCCCAGCUGUUGAAUGAAGCCUUACCAAAGCAAAACACAACUGAGAUGCUGCUCAACCUGCUGAGUUCCUCCAGCUUGUUGUGUGUGUUACUCUGUACACUGAAACAAUGUGUGAAUUGGUGCAGGAGCAACAGUGAAGAGAGCGGGUAUUACCCACUGAAGAAAUAUUAAGAAUUGAAGUCAGUAACUAUAAAUUACAGGAGUAUUAUUCCAGGACUGCAUUGGAGAUGAAUGCUCUUUGAAACUGGAUCACAUCUGCCACUGACCCUUUCCUUUCCUACAGACAAGGAAACAGAGUGGUUUUAUUUCUCACAGGUGCAGCUACAGUGAAUCACAUCGUUCGCCUGUGUCAAUACAGUCGGAGGAUUGUGCUGGGGUCGGCCUUCGCGUGUUGCUGCGCUUCCAGCUCCAACAUAGCCGGCCUACAACUCAGUAUUCUUUGGAAUGUGUGAGGAAACCAGAUCACCUGGAGGAAACGCAUGCGUUCAUGGGAAAAACGUACUAACAACUUACAGACACAGCAGGAAUUGAACCACAAUCGGGGGUCGCCAACGCUGUGAAGUGUUGCACUAAUCACUCUGCUACCAUGCCAACCUAACAAUUCUAAAGAAAAAGAGGAGUACAGAGCAGCCAAUUUCUUAGAGAAACUGUUAGAAACAGGGCGUUCAGUGAGUGACAAACAAAGGGAGUGGGAUGAUCCCUAUCUUUGUUGGUGAGGCUACACCGGACAUUGCCCCAGCACCUCCAGUCUCAGCACAAUUUGCUAGCACAGUAAAAGGCCAGUGCUCAAUUCUCUCAAUCGUGCCACCUCAAUUCCUGUUGGUAAUCUCUAAUUUCCUGAUCAUGAGCCCAGAUCUGGCGUUGUGUGCCAACCAGGUCCCUGCUGAGUUUCUGAAACCUGUUGGAUCACAGCCUGAUGUCCCACAUUUUCGAAGAGGAAACGACUCCAUGCGACAUCACUGGUCAAUAUAGUUGAGAGCAACUCUUUAAAUGAGGAGCCAGAUCCGGCUGCAUUUAUAACAGAGGGGUCUUCCUGCUGUCCAUUGACCUGGAAAGACAAGGCUAGGGCCCGCCUCAUCUGUAGCCCCCCGUAGUUGAACACUUCUUCCCAAAUAACAAAAUACUGUAGAAAAACAACAAGCAUGUCCUUUAAUGUGUGACAACUCCAAAGCAAGUAGUAUCAACCACAAUAUAGUGUGUUCAGUUUUUCUCCCAAAAUACUGUCAACCCAUCAUUGAGAGUGACUGUGGAGCACCCUUCUCAAAUCUGGCUGCCCACAGAAAUGUAUCCCAAUAAUCCUUCUACAUAAUGGUGUGCACAAUCUGAAUAUUAUAGUCAUAGUCAUAGUCAUAGUCAUACUUUAUUGAUCCUGGGGGAAACUGUUUUUCAUUACAGUUGCACCAUAAAUAAUUAAAUAGUAAUAAAACCAUAAAUAGUUAAAUAGUAAUAUGUAAAUUAUGCCAGGAAAUAAGAUUACUAAUCUCAACGUGGAUUACUAUCAAACAAAGCUUCAAGAUCACCUCUAGUUUUCCACAAACUUUGUCUCUUUGCAAUGCUAAUCCUCACCAACACAGCAAGCUUCCUGCUCGCAAACAGAUAAUCAACAAGAUCAAUGAGAACUAUUCAGUUGACAUUACCUCCUCUCGAGAAUUCCAGUCAACCCGACCUCAGCCACGAAAGAGCUUCACAAUAAUGAACAGAUGAUGUUCCAUUGCUCACAUGUUUGGAGCCCUGGCACGUUACUAAGUUGCUGAAGGAUCCAAGAAGAAAAGUCAAAUGUCCUCUCUAAUAUCUCACAAUGGCACAUAACCACUCUCUGACAAUAAAAACUUCUCAAACAGUGUGUCUCUUCUUUACUUGGAAGUCUCCUAGUGACAAAAGCAAGCACUGAUUAUGAAAUUUGCCAUCUCUUUCAGAGGGGCAGCCUAACUUUAGGCUACGUGAAAAAGGGUGAAUUGAAAAUUAACAUCUGAGAACUAAUUAAAAGCUUGU